CCUACGGGAGGCAGCAGUGGGGAAUAUUGGACAAUGGGGGCAACCCUGAUCCAGCCAUGCCGCGUGAGUGAUGAAGGCCCUAGGGUUGUAAAGCUCUUUCACCGGUGAAGAUAAUGACGGUAACCGGAGAAGAAGCCCCGGCUAACUUCGUGCCAGCAGCCGCGGUAAU
rnacentral:rRNA from 1 species